GUCCUCUGGAGAAGUGCUUCCCUCUCUCAUUUCCAGGACCACAAUUCCCAGAACCUUCAGCUUCACGGCGGUUCCCUUUUCACUCGAUCUCUUCUUGAACUGGCUGGGCUUCAGCCGGCCAGCAGGCACUCAGCGACGACGUGAUUCGUCGGGACUGGGCACAGGGUUUCCUUAGCGGCCUGUUUUUCUCCCCACUCAGUUAUUCCCUUUACAGGCCGUCGCGGCUGGCCUGAGCGGUGACCUGGCGGGCCGCGCCUGCGCUCUGCCCCGUUUCCUGCCUGGCUGGUGGCGGUGGCCAUUUUGUUCAUCCUCCUCCUCCUCCUGCUCCUCCUGGUUGGAGCGCAGUGUCCGGAGCGGGCUGGGGGGAGAGAGCCCGAGAGCAGGGUUCGGUGGCUUUUCCUCUGUCCCCAGCUGGUGCCCGGAGCCCCCCUCCCCUUCCUCCCCACCCCCUCCCCUCCCCAGCCCUGCCCUCCCCCUUGUCCCGGGAUCGCUCCGUCGCACCCACCAUGAUGGAAGACGACGGGCAGCCCCGGACUCUAUACGUAGGUAACCUCUCCAGAGAUGUGACAGAAGUCCUUAUACUUCAGUUAUUCAGUCAGAUUGGACCCUGUAAAAGCUGUAAAAUGAUAACAGAGCAACCCGAUAGCAGAAGGGUCAACUCUUCUGUUGGAUUUUCUGUUUUGCAGCAUACAAGCAAUGACCCAUAUUGCUUUGUGGAAUUUUAUGAACACAGAGAUGCAGCUGCUGCAUUAGCUGCUAUGAAUGGGAGAAAAAUUUUGGGAAAGGAGGUCAAAGUAAACUGGGCAACAACACCAAGUAGCCAGAAAAAAGAUACUUCCAAUCACUUCCAUGUGUUUGUUGGGGAUUUGAGUCCAGAAAUUACAACAGAAGAUAUCAAAUCAGCAUUUGCCCCCUUUGGUAAAAUAUCGGAUGCCCGAGUAGUUAAAGACAUGGCAACUGGAAAAUCCAAAGGCUAUGGUUUUGUAUCUUUUUAUAACAAACUGGAUGCAGAAAAUGCAAUUGUGCAUAUGGGAGGUCAGUGGUUGGGUGGUCGUCAGAUCAGAACCAACUGGGCCACACGUAAACCACCUGCACCUAAAAGUACACAAGAAAAUAACACUAAACAGUUGAGAUUUGAAGAUGUAGUAAACCAGUCAAGUCCAAAAAAUUGUACUGUGUACUGUGGAGGAAUUGCCUCUGGGUUAACAGAUCAGCUUAUGAGACAGACUUUCUCACCAUUUGGACAAAUUAUGGAAAUAAGAGUUUUUCCAGAGAAAGGCUAUUCAUUUGUCAGAUUUUCAACCCACGAAAGUGCUGCUCAUGCCAUUGUUUCGGUGAAUGGCACUACAAUUGAAGGACAUGUUGUUAAAUGCUAUUGGGGUAAAGAAUCUCCUGAUAUGACUAAAAACUUCCAACAGGUGUCACCACCCCAAUAAACUUAGACAAUGAUAAAUAACAGAGUCCUAUUCACAUAAGGGUGCUUACUUAGUUUUUCUCUUCCUUGUCUCCCACUUUCUUCAAAUACUGUGUUUCUUACUUACUCCCUAAAACGGUAAUUUGCUUUUUCCUAGGUCGACUAUAGUCAGUGGGGGCAGUGGAGCCAGGUUUAUGGAAACCCACAACAGUACGGACAGUACAUGGCAAAUGGGUGGCAAGUACCGCCGUAUGGAGUAUACGGGCAACCGUGGAACCAACAAGGAUUUGGAGUAGAUCAAUCGCCUUCUGCUGCUUGGAUGGGUGGAUUUGGUGCUCAGCCUCCCCAAGGACAAGCUCCUCCCCCUGUAAUACCUCCUCCUAACCAAGCUGGAUAUGGUAUGGCAAGUUACCAAACACAGUGAGCUGGGACUCUAAACAAAAUUGUAAUUCAUGAUAGCUUCAGUUUCCUGUGACACUCUGAAGACAUGAAAGUAGACAUCGGAAAAUGAAAAUAUUUAUUUUAAAAAUUGAAAUGUUUGGAACCUUUAGCACAGCUUUGCUUUGGUGAAGGACACAUGUCUUCUAGUUCUGCCUUUUUAAGUUUUUGUUCAUGAUGGAUAUGAACAUGAUUUUUCUUUGUGUACAAAAACUAAAAUAAAGUCAAUAAAGACAAUUCUGACUACAAAUUUUGAUAUAAUAGGAGAAAUGGGUAAUACAUUUUGAUUCUUAGAUACUAUUCCAUUUUUAUCUUGCUGUUCAGUAUUUUAACUCACUGUGUUUUUAAAAGAGCAAAAAAAGGGAGGAUCGUGGAAAACUGGGAAUCACAUAUAAGUUCAUCCUGAACCUUGAUACUCCCCUCCCCUCCCCUGAGGUGGACCACAUUCGAAGUCAGCAGAAAAAAGUGUGAUAUUGAGAAGAAAUUGCAUGAUUUUGGAGUCGCUUUGGAGGAAAUACUUACUUUAUGCCUAAAGAAACUGAAGCCAGACUGAUACAGAAAUUUUACAAACUAAAUAAGGAACAGCAUUAUCUGAGUUACUUGAGCGAAUGUUGGUGGUCCACAUUAAGACGUUUUUAAAACUUUAAAAAGUGUUGAUUAUUAAAACUGUAGUAAAUUACAUUUCAUUUUGGGGGGAAAUUCCAAGUAUGGUGUUUGUAUUAAAGUCAGACAGUCAUACUUGUGCUUUUACAUGAAGUUUAAAUGAUAUACAUUGUAAAUAUUGAAUAACUACAGUGUUUAAAAAGCAUGCUUCAACAUAGAAGUAGCAGCAAUGUAAUUAUUUGAAGUAACACUUAACACACUCCACUGCAUUGAAUGCAGUGGAUUGAUAAGAAUGUUUAAGACUGACACUUCCAAGGUUGGCUACUAUGUAAAAUUAAAAUUAUACGAAUUACUAUACAGAAAAAGCCUUAAUUUUAAUUUCAUACAAAUCUUUGAUGCAUUAGUACAUUUUAAAAUGUCAUUGGAAAUCAGAUUUCUUUUUUUUUUUCUUUCUUUACAUCACUUGGUAUGUAAAUACCUUGAUUAAAACCUUGUAAACCUAUUCCAAGGUUCCUAUAAGUUGUAUAGUACAAGUGUUUUUAAAAAAAAUCUUGGGAUGUUUUUUAAAAUUAGAUAUAUUUUGCCCAAGAAUUUUUUUAACAAGAUUGCUAAAACAUCUUAUUUAGACAGUUUGAUGUACCAAUUUAUAAUUGGAUAUUCAGCUUAAGUAGUACACAGAGUUGUGGCUUUUAUUUUUAUUUAACUUUUUUUCUUUGUGGGUAGUGUGCAUGGGAUGACAAGCCUGAUCAGAGGCUGAGUUGUAUGUGUGCAGAGUUUGUAAAUGAACCAAUUGGGUAGGUGUAGAAGACUGAAUUUUGCUUCUGAGGUAUUUUUCAGGCUAUGUGGAUAAAACCUGCCUCAAAUUUCUAUCCUAACAAGAAUGUAAAAGAUAAAAAUUCUAUGUAUUCGAAUUCUGACAGCUAGAGGGUGCAAAUGUUUAGGCAGUGUAUUUAAAAUGUUGCUUUGAGGUCUGGGCACCAAAAUGAGAAAACCCUUACCAGUUAAGUAGUAAGAUGCAAUUAAUACCCACAAAGUAUUAUUUUUUAAACGUUUAAGGUCUUACAAUUAGCUUUAAAAUAAUGAUGGUUUUAUAAAUUGGCGACUACGAUAAUUGUGGUAUUUUUCUUCCUCCCCCAUUUAGAAAAACAGUCAAAUGUAUUAAACAUGAAUAUUUGCGGGGUCUGAAAUUCAUCUUUGGGUUAGAUUUGUUACGGCACUUUAGUUUUAAACCACAGGAGUCCUCUGUGACCCUCUUCUGUAUAAAAGUUAUCCUUAUUUCUUUGUUUAUGGCUAGUGUUCUUGGGGGAUGUUAUGGAAAAGUUACUUUAUAUUUUAUAAGGAGAACACUCAAAUUAUAUCAGUUAUGCCUCCUAGUUUAAAAUUUCUUGAAUAUAUGUGAAACUUGAACAACUAAAGACUUUUUUUUUUUUUAAUAUAUCAAUAUUUUCAGUUUGCCUUUUUUGGUCUGCUAGUAAAUUAAGUAGCUUAUUGCAGUAGCAGGUAACUGUAGCUGCAAUGUUUUCCUGGUUGUCUUUUCUAGGAUUUCAUAAAAUGAUCCAAACUAGUUCUAGCGCCAUAGAAAACCUAUUACUGAAGUGUCCUUCGUCUCAAUCUGAAAGAAAGAGUUCAUGAUCAGUUCAGUUAAUGGAAGUUAUUUCAUAUUAAAUGGUUUUUAAAAUACAGAGCUAAUUAUCCAAAUGAAAUGCACCAUUUUAAAAUACAACUGUCAAGCUAACACAGACUCAAGUCUAUUUUAUAACAAAAUGAAGUCAGUGCUAUCUUGAUCAAUUUAAGCCUAAGAAUCGUUGCCUUUUCCAUGUUCAUUAAAAAAAACAGCAGAGAUUCUUUGGCAUGCGAGAAAAUGUUUAUUUCUUAAUUAUUUUGAGAUUUAUUUUGGUGAUGUGUUUCUGACUGCCAUCUUCUUUGCUCUGAUAAUCUCUCUACUAGUAUUUCCCCCAUACCAUUCCCACGUGGUUUUUAUGUCUGCUGGCAGUGAGAGGCUGAAAUGACUGGCCAACGUAAGCCAAAGCUGUAAACCACAGUUGAAGUAAGUCUUUCAAUAAAGACUAGACUAUCUGAUAA